rnacentral:rRNA from 1 species
AAUUUUGGACAAUGGGGGAAACCCUGAUCCAGCCAUUCCGCGUGAGUGAAGAAGGCCUUCGGGUUGUAAAGCUCUUUUGUCCGGAACGAAACGGUUGCGGUGAAUAUCCGCGACUACUGACGGUACCGGAAGAAUAAGCACCGGCUAACUCCGUGCCAGCAGCCGCGGUAAGACGGAGGGUGCUAGCGUUGUUCGGAAUGACUGGGGGUAAAGGGCGCGUAGGCGGCCGCUUGCGUCGGAUGUGAAAGCCCGGGGCUCAACCCCGGAACGGCAUCCGAUACGGGGCGGCUCGAGACCGAGAGAGGUGAGUGGAAUACCCAGUGUAGAGGUGAAAUUCGUAGAUAUUGGGUGGAACACCGGUGGCGAAAGCGGCUCACUGGCUCGGUUCUGACGCUGAGGCGCGAAAGCGUGGGGAGCAAAC